GUCUUGCGAUCCGCAGAUGAGGAACAGCUCUGAACGCAACUGGCCAGCCAGGGACACUCUCCUCCCUGCGCUGCCUGUGCAUCAGCGUUUCA
rnacentral:rRNA from 1 species